rnacentral:lncRNA from 1 species
AAAACACGCUGUUCAUAAUUUAGAAGGCAUCUCCAUCAUGGUUGUCAUUACUGUUUGAAAAAAGGCAGAGGUCUGGAAGAGAGGAGAGAAGCAAGUCAGAAAGGAGGAGCAUCUCUCAAGCUGCAUCGGGCUGCUCCAGUCAAGCAAGUUCCCGGUAAUGACAUGAGGGCUCAGUGAGACGGUGAUUUACAGUUGCCUGGGAAGAUGUUACUUCCAGACUUGGCCAAAAUUACAGAACUUGUUUUGCCACAUCUGGGAGUCAGGAGAUCAAAAGGACUGCGGCGUUAGUCACCGUGCAGACAGAGGAGGGGAGCAGCGAUGGUCAUGACGCCGUUCCCGACGAGCAGGCUAACAGCUUCCACCAGAGGGUCUGACGAAACCUGCGGGACCUGUUGGUGCAGGGGAAGAGCAUCGAGUAAUUGAGAUGCGGUUGUCCCAGGGGCCUGCUCGCGAGCGUGGUUGGCACACAGGUCGCCAGAGCCCAGCCCUCGCCAGGAAUCCUGAGAAUCUCUCCCGGGAAAGAUGAAGGCACAAGCCCUGACACACCGAGGGUGGUUCCCUGGGCGAGAUGGGAAGAAGCGGAGGACGAGGCUGCAGCCGCGGUCCUGACGUGCCGCUUCCUGAAAACUCGCUUUAGAGAUGGAAUCCUGCGCCGUGCGUCACGGACGUCUGCGCUGCCCCCGUGGAUGGGCCGGGAUGGAGUCUGGCUGCGACUCGCCUGAGGUUCGCUGGACGCGUGCUUGUGUCCUGAGCCCUGCUGCGGCUCUUGCCAAGGCUCUCCCGUAAAAGUGGUCUCGUUGACUUAAAGUGGGAAGGGGUUUCCUGGGAACCUCCCCAAAGCUGGAGGCCCCCGUGGCUGCUGCUCUGCAGGGUAGAAAUGGGUUUGGUUUUUGUGCCUCUGCGAGCUGGUGGAAGCCCUCAUAAAAAAAUAAAAUAAAAU